rnacentral:rRNA from 1 species
UACGGGGGGGGCAAGCGUUGUUCGGAAUUACUGGGCGUAAAGGGUUCGUAGGUGGCCAACUAAGUCAGACGUGAAAUCCCUCAGCUUAACUGGGGAACUGCGUCUGAUACUGGAUGGCUUGAGUGCAGGAGAGGAACGCGGAAUUCCAGGUGUAGCGGUGAAAUGCGUAGAUAUCUGGAGGAACACCGGUGGCGAAGGCGGCGUUCUGGACUGCAACUGACACUGAGGAACGAAGGCCAGGGGAGCAAACGGG